UACGUAGGUCCCGAGCGUUGUCCGGAAUUACUGGGCGUACAGCGCACGCAGGCGGUCUGUCAAGUCGGAUGUGAAAUCCCCGGGCUCAGCCUGGGAACUGCAUUCGAAACUGGCAGGCUGGAGUCUUGUAGAGGGGGGUAGAAUUCCAGGUGUAGCGGUGAAAUGCGUAGAGAUCUGGAGGAAUACCGGUGGCGAAGGCGGCCCCCUGGACGAAGACUGACGCUCAGGUGCGAAAGCGUGGGGAGCAAACAGG
rnacentral:rRNA from 1 species